UACAGAGGUCUCAAGCGUUGUUCGGAUUCAUUGGGCGUAAAGGGUGCGUAGGUGGCGCCGUAAGUCAGGUGUGAAAUCUCGGGGCUCAACCCCGAAACUGCACUUGAUACUGCGGUGCUCGAGUACUGGAGAGGAGAUUGGAAUUUACGGUGUAGCAGUGAAAUGCGUAGAUAUCGUAAGGAAGACCGGUGGCGAAGGCGGGUCUCUGGACAGUUCCUGACGCUGAGGCACGAAGGCCAGGGGAGCAAACGGG
rnacentral:rRNA from 1 species